AUUGAACGCUGGCGGCAGGCCUAACACAUGCAAGUCGAGCGGCGCUUAGGACGGGUGAGUAAUGCCUAGGAAUCUGCCUGGUAGUGGCGGAUAACGUCCAGAAACGGGCGCGAAUCCCGCAUACGAUCAGCUGAGCCUAGGUCGGAUUAGCUGGUUGGUGGGGUAGAGGCCUACCAAGGCGACGAUCCGUAACUGGUCUGAGAGGAUGAUCAGUCACACUGGAACUGAGACACGGUCCAGACUCCUACGGGAGGCAGCAGUGGGGAAUAUUGGACAAUGGGCGAAAGCCUGAUCCAGCCAUGCCGCGUGUGUGAAGAAGGUCUUCGGAUUGUAAAGUACUUUAAGUUGGGAGGCGUUACCAACAGAAUAAGCACCGGCUAACUCCGUGCCAGCAGCCGCGGUAAUUC
rnacentral:rRNA from 1 species